GACGAACGCUGGCGGCGUGCUUAACACAUGCAAGUCGAACGGUAAGGCCCUUUCGGGGGUACACGCGUGGCUGACGGGUGAGUAACACGUGAGUAACCUGCCCACCACUUUGGGAUAGCGCUCGGAAACUAGUUCUAGUACUGAACAUGUGCUCCUGCUGCCUGGUUGGGGUGGGAAAGAUCCUGGGGUUGUGGGUGGACUCGCGGCCUAUCAGCUUGUUGGUGGGGUAGUGGCCUACCAACGAGGCGACGGGUAGCCGGCCUGAGAGGGUGACCGGCCACAUUGGGGCUGAGAUACGGCCCAGACCCCUACGGGGGGCAGCAGUGGGGAAUAUUGCACAAUGGGGGCAAGCCUGAUGCAGCAACGCCGCGGGCGGGAGUACGGCCUUCGGGUUGGAAACCGCCUUCAGCAGGGACGAAGCUUUGUGUGACGGUACCUGCAGAAGAAGCACCGGCUAACUACGUG
rnacentral:rRNA from 1 species